UCUCGAUCGAUACCCUCAUGUUAGC
rnacentral:rasiRNA from 1 species